CUUUCCCUCUGGCGGCAGGCCUAACACAUGCAAGUCGAGCGGAUGAAGGGAGCUUGCUCCUGGAUUCAGCGGCGGACGGGUGAGUAAUGCCUAGGAAUCUGCCUGGUAGUGGGGGAUAACGUCCGGAAACGGGCGCUAAUACCGCAUACGUCCUGAGGGAGAAAGUGGGGGAUCUUCGGACCUCACGCUAUCAGAUGAGCCUAGGUCGGAUUAGCUAGUUGGUGGGGUAAAGGCCUACCAAGGCGACGAUCCGUAACUGGUCUGAGAGGAUGAUCAGUCACACUGGAACUUAGACACGGUCCAGACUCCUACGGGAGGCAGCAGUGGGGAAUAUUGGACAAUGGGCGAAAGCCUGAUCCAGCCAUGCCGCGUGUGUGAAGAAGGUCUUCGGAUUGUAAAGCACUUUAAGUUGGGAGGAAGGGCAGUAAGUUAAUACCUUGCUGUUUUGACGUUACCAACAGAAUAAGCACCGGCUAACUUCGUG
rnacentral:rRNA from 1 species